AACUAAUGAACUUGAAUAAGUUUGUACUUUGAAAGUACAAGAAAGAAAUAGAACUUUCUAUUAGUUU
rnacentral:tRNA from 1 species